AUGAAGAUGAAUAUCUCCUUCCCGGCCACCAGCUGCCAGAAACUCAUCCAAGUGGACGAUGAAUGCAAGCUUCGUAUGUUCUAUGAGAAGCUCACGGCCACAGAAGUACCUGCUGAUGCUCUGGGUGAAGAGUGGAAGGGCUAUGUGGUCCAAAUCAGUGGCGGGAAUGACAAACAAGGUUUUCCCAUAAAGCAAGGCACUUUGACCCAUGGCAGAGUGUGCCCUGUGUUGAGUAAGGGGCAUUCUUGUUAUAGACCAAGGAGAACUGGAGAGAGGAAGCACAAGUCUGUUUGAGGAUGCAUCGUGGAUGCCAAUCUGAGUGUUCUCAACUUUUUUAUUGUAAAAAAAGGAAUGAAGGAUAUUCCUGAACUGACAGAUACUAUUGUUCCUCGUUGGUUGAGACCUAAAAGAGCUAGCAGAAUUCGAAAGCUUUUUAAUCUCUCUAAAGACGAUGAUGUCCGCCAAUAUGUUGUAAGAAAGCCUUUAAACAAAAAAGGUAAGAAGCCCAAUUUGUCAUAACAGCCCAGGACCAAAGCGCCCAAGAUUCAGUGUCUUAUUACUCCAUGUGUCCUGCAACACAAACGGCGUCGUAUUGCUCUUAAGAAACACCGAACUAAGAAAAACAAGGAGGAGGCUGCAGAAUAUGCUAAACUUUUGGCCAAGAGAAUGAAGGAAGCCAGAGAAAGCGCCAGGAACAGAUCGCCAAGAGAUGUAGGCUGUCCUCACUGAAAGCUUCUACUUCUAAGUCUGAGUCCAGUCAAAAAUAA